CCACAUAACCACAUCUGCGAACCCUAGGUGUCGUACGUCUCCCGUUUAGCCCGCCUGAUCUUGAUGGCGCAUGUCGUCGAUGCUGCCUCAUGAUCCACCGAUCCCAGAACACUUUCACCGUCGAUUAAAGUCCUUCAGUGCCGCCUCUAGGUCACCAUCGUUGUCGCCACUACGAACUCCAAGCACUCAUGUGUGAGACCUCGACCACCACCUGCCACAAUCCCACAGUCCCUCCUUCCCUCCUUGUCCGUCGAUGCAGAUGAAGGUGCGGGUGGGUAUCUUGGCCUCGUCGUCUAUGAUGUCAUAUCGGCGUCCCGUCGCGAGGAGCAGCAGCAUCGGCACCAUCGGGCACAUCAUCGACGGCGGCUUUGUUGGCACCAAGGCGUGUAUCUCAAUCCUCACCUACUCACCAUCCUGUUCCAGGUAAUAGGCUUUCCACCCCCUCUUUUGUAUCAUGUGUUCUCGCGUGCACAGAUUUGGCAGUUGGGAAGGAAGUUCAUAGGAAGGGAGGUGACAACAAGGAUUAAUUAAGGGUCGAUUUGAUUUCCGAGAUUCUAUGUCUAGGACAUGAUUUGGUAACAAGGAAAUCCCCUUUAAAUGUGUCAUAAUCUGUGAUAAGGACCGCAAGCUAAAAAAGCAUGGGGCAAACCUCGGGCUAUAACAAUUAAUGUGCUUAUGUGAGCGUGAAGGAAUACUUUUCUUUUAUUUUGUGGUGGUGAUGUGCUCCUUCUGGCUUCAGUAUAUAGAUUCUUCAAAAAAAUUGCAUGUUAUACUAUCAACUUAGUUUAUAUAUAUAUUCUCCUAAUAUUAGCAGAAUAAUUAUUCUGCACACACUUUCCAGUUGCACGCGCAACAUUACUGCACUGCACCCUUUUCAAAACAAGCACUCCAAUGUCACAAAAAAAACUGCUCGUGCUUUUUCGAUAUCGUUUUGGCUCCAGUUUUUAAACCAUUUGUCGUAAUGAGGCAUAUAAUAUGUCAUCGGAUUGCUACAGAAAAUUCCCAACUCUAUUAUGUUGAACAUUUUUCGUGAUUCCUCGCGGUUUAAGAGCAGUUUCGAAAAUGGUGAGCGCAUGACGGGGUAUAGCGAGUGUAUUUUCACGAUUUUUUUAACCGCUCGUCGGAGUGAAGCAAAUGAUACGAUGUUGGAAAUAUAUCGUCCAGCCGCAUCUUUUUCAUGCAUAUUACUCUCUCUAAUUUCUUACGGUUUGCGAGUAAUUCCAAGUUUACUAAAAAAUUGAAUUCUGUUUUUUGAAUUUUUCGUUUUUUGGGAUUGUUUUGGCUGCAGGUUUUAAACCGUUCCUCGGAUCGAGGCGUAUGAUACGGCGUUGAAAAGCUGUCUAAUAUGCGUAACUUUCAUAUGUUGGCCAUUUAUUAAGAUUCCUCGAGGUUUUAAAUGAAUUUUAGAAACGGCGGGACUGCGUGCGAGUUGCAGCGAAC
rnacentral:lncRNA from 1 species